UCGAAGGUAGCAUAAUCAGUAGUCUUUUAAUUGAAGGCUGGUAUGAAUGGUUGGACGAGAAAUUAACUGUUUCAUUAAAAUUUGUGGUAGAAUUUUAUUUUUUAGUUAAAAAGCUAAAAUUUAUUUAAAAGACGAGAAGACCCUAUAAAUCUUUAUAUAAGUUUUGUUAUAAUUUUUUAGAUUUAUUUUGUUAUAAUAAAUUAUUAUAUUUUAUUGGGGUGAUAUUAAAAUUUAAUAAACUUUUAAUUUUUACAGUCAUUAAUAUAUGAAUAAAUGAUCCGUUAAUAACGAUUAAAAAAUUAAGUUACUUUAGGGAUAACAGCGUAAUUUUUUUGGAGAGUUCAUAUCGAUAAAAAAGAUUGCGACCUCGAUGUUGGAUUAA
rnacentral:rRNA from 1 species